rnacentral:rRNA from 1 species
GUAGGUGGCAAGCGUUGACCGGAAUUAUUGGGCGUAAAGCGCGCGCAGGCGGUCCUUUAAGUCUGAUGUGAAAGGCCACGGCCCAACCGUGGAGGGUCAUUGGAAACUGGGGGACUUGAGUACAGAAGAGGAAAGCGGAAUUCCAAGUGUAGCGGUGAAAUGCGUAGAGAUUUGGAGGAACACCAGUGGCGAAGGCGGCUUUCUGGUCUGUAACUGACGCUGAGGCGCGAAAGCGUGGGGAGCAAACAGGAUUAGAUACCCUGGUAGUCCACGCCGUAAACGAUGAGUGCUAAGUGUUAGGGGGUUUCCCGCCCCCUUAGUGCUGCAGCUAACGCAUUAAGCACUCCGCCUGGGGGAGUACGGCCGCAAGGCUG